AGGGAUUUGUAAAUCUUGUGAUUAGGAAAGUGCAUACAUGUUGUUCGAUGAAACGCCUAACGAAGAUUUUUAAGUUCCUUCCCUCCUUAUACUAUGACAACUGAAUUCACUAAUCAUAUAACUGUUUUAUUUAAACAAUUUAAGUGUCUUAUACUUAACCUCCAAUGAGUUACUUUAAUACAUGUUCUGUUUUAUGGUUACAUUCAUUUUCUUGAUGGUUUUGAUUGAAGAAGUAGGACCAAGACGUGACAGAAGCCAUUUAAAGGGUUGUUGCAUCAUGUGGAUGCGGAGAUAUUGAAGGUGUUCUUAGGUUUUAACUAAAGCAACAUGUGAUUGAUGGAAACAAAGUUGUAUUAGAUGUGUCAAAUCCUCACACCAGAGUUGUUUCUAAGUUUCAGAACGAAGUUAAUGCAAUUGGUAUAGUCAUAAGCACAUGAGAUGCUAAGGUGAGUACAUGAAAAAAAUUUCUUUUUUGUUUAAAUUUUUAUAGUCAUUGAAUCUUGGUAUGAUGAUGCAAGCUUGGUAUGAUGAUGAUGCUGGUGGGUUUCAUAGCCAACGUUGUUGGAGGAGAAACAAACUACAAUUUAUAAAAGAGCCGACUUGAGAAUUUUGAGCAUCCAUUUCAUAUUUGGUGAAUCAGUCAGAAUUUAUGGAUAUACAAAAACUAACCUAGGAUAUGCAACCUUCUUUACAACACUUAAGUCAGUUUAGUGUUUGAUUUGGUUGAUUUUUUGUACAGCUUCUAAUCUUGUACCGAUGACUACUGUUGUUGGGCUCUAGGGAUAGACCACUGUUUCGCUUUCAGCUUUUUCACUAUUGAUGUUUAUCCGAUGCAGCAGUAAAGACCCCGGUUAUGAAACAUCUCAUCAACAUCAUCAUUCGUCCACCAGGUGAUUGUUUACAUUAUCCCCUUUUGAAUUUCGCUCAUCCUCUUCUUCAUCGUUUCUGAAGUGUUGAUUUGUUGAGUUUUGCCCUUUCGUUGAUCAUCUAUCUUAUCUAUCUUGACAUUUGGUUUUUUGGGUUUCCAUUAUUUCAGUUGUCAGCGUUUGUUCGUCGUUCAAUGGACUUCUGUGUUGCAAGGGUUGAUUUGUGUUUAUGUCAGACUGAUUUGAGAGUUGUUGGUUGCAGGAGUCUUAGGAAUUAGAGUUUUGUUUCGGUACCUCUUUUCAAAUCGACCGAAUAUGCCUAUGAAACGCUCAAAAUGUAGGUUGUUUGGCAUCAAAGUUGAAGAUUGAAAUUGUAAGUUUCUUAUACCUUGGUUUCUGUUAUCAAUUAUAGUGUGAGUUUUUGGUCUUUUUUACUAUUUUCUUAUGAAGGUUCAUCAAAUUUUGGUUGGUGGGUGUUUAUUAGUGUAGAAUUGGUUUGUGUUUUGUACCAAAAAGUAUAAACAUAUGAUAGCACAUGUAUUCGUGAUUUUUUAAAUACAGAAAGUUCAAGCAAUUCUUUGAGCUUGAAGAUCUUUAAUACAAGGCAAUGAUGAUGGUUAUAGUUUGUCUAAAUUGUCUAGGGUAACUAUAAAAUAUUUACAUAAUAAUCUAUAGAGUAGGGUUCGCACGGAAAGUGUGUUUUUCCUAGAAAGUCUAGGAAGCGAUCUGGUCCAUCCGAUUGGUGUGUUUAAGGGUUGAG